UACGGAGGGUGCAAGCGUUAAUCGGAAUUACUGGGCGUAAAGCGUGCGUAGGCGGUUCGUUAAGUCUGUUGUGAAAGCCCCGGGCUCAACCUGGGAACCGCGCUUGAGACUGGAGAACUAGAGUUCGGGAGAGGAUGGUGGAAUUCCCAGUGUAGAGGUGAAAUUCGUAGAUAUUGGGAAGAACACCGAUGGCGAAGGCAGCCAUCUGGACCGACACUGACGCUGAGGCGCGAAAGCGUGGGGAGCAAACAGG
rnacentral:rRNA from 1 species